rnacentral:rRNA from 1 species
GACGAACGCUGGCGGCGCGCCUAACACAUGCAAGUCGAACGAGCGAGAGAGAGCUUGCUUUCUCGAGCGAGUGGCGAACGGGUGAGUAACGCGUGAGGAACCUGCCUCAAAGAGGGGGACAACAGUUGGAAACGACUGCUAAUACCGCAUAAGCCCACGGUGCCGCAUGGUACAGAGGGAAAAGGAGCAAUCCGCUUUGAGAUGGCCUCGCGUCCGAUUAGCUAGUUGGUGAGGUAAUGGCCCACCAAGGCGACGAUCGGUAGCCGGACUGAGAGGUUGAACGGCCACAUUGGGACUGAGACACGGCCCAGACUCCUACGGGAGGCAGCAGUGGGGAAUAUUGCACAAUGGGGGAAACCCUGAUGCAGCGACGCCGCGUGGAGGAAGAAGGUCUUCGGAUUGUAAACUCCUGUUGUUGGGGAAGAUAAUGACGGUACC